GAUCAACCGAGUUGAAUUUAUUCACUGUAAAUCAUUUCUACAUAGGGAUAUAAAGCCAGACAACUUCCUUAUGAGUUUAGGGAGGCGUGCUAAUCAGGUCUAUGCUAUUGAUUUCGGGCUAGCCAAGAAAUAUAGAGACUCUUCAACUCAUCGGCACAUUCCAUAUAGAGAGAACAAGAAUUUGACAGGGACAGCUAGAUAUGCAAGCAUGAACCCAAGCCUGAUGGAACAUAAGAGGUCAGUUUAAUGUGAACUUAUUGUAUGUUUGCUAGUUGUUGGGAAAUGGGAAUAAUGAUUGAUGUAAAAACUGCAAAUAAUAACUAAUCUUAGAUGGGAUGUCAUAUAGGUUUUGAAUCUGAAGUAGAAUAAGAA